rnacentral:rRNA from 1 species
AUUGAACGCUGGCGGAAUGCCUAACACAUGCAAGUCGAGCGGCAGCGGGUCCUUCGGGAUGCCGGCGAGCGGCGGACGGGUGAGUAAUGCCUAGGAAUCUGCCUGGUAGUGGGGGAUAACGUUCGGAAACGGACGCUAAUACCGCAUACGUCCUACGGGAGAAAGUGGGGGAUCUUCGGACCUCACGCUAUCAGAUGAGCCUAGGUCGGAUUAGCUAGUUGGUGGGGUAAAGGCUCACCAAGGCGACGAUCCGUAACUGGUCUGAGAGGAUGAUCAGUCACACUGGAACUGAGACACGGUCCGGACUCCUACGGGAGGCAGCAGUGGGGAAUAUUGGACAAUGGGCGAAAGCCUGAUCCAGCCAUGCCGCGUGUGUGAAGAAGGUCUUCGGAUUGUAAAGCACUUUAAGUUGGGAGGAAGGGCAGCUAGUUAAUACCUGGUUGUUUUGACGUUACCAACAGAAUAAGCACCGGCUAACUUCGUGCCAGCCGCCGCCGUAACAC